rnacentral:rRNA from 1 species
GAUGAACGCUGGCGGUGUGCCUAAUACAUGCAAGUCGAGCGAACAGACGAGGAGCUUACUCCUCUGACGUUAGCGGCGGACGGGUGAGUAACACGUGGAUAACCUACCUAUAAGACUGGGAUAACUUCGGGAAACCGGAGCUAAUACCGGAUAACAUGUUGAACCGCAUGGUUCAACAGUGAAAGACGGUCUUGCUGUCACUUAUAGAUGGAUCCGCGUCGCAUUAGCUAGUUGGUAAGGUAACGGCUUACCAAGGCAACGAUGCGUAGCCGACCUGAGAGGGUGAUCGGCCACACUGGAACUGAGACACGGUCCAGACUCCUACGGGAGGCAGCAGUAGGGAAUCUUCCGCAAAGGGCGAAAGCCUGACGGAGCAACGCCGCGUGAGUGAAGAAGGUCUUCGGAUCGUAAAACUCUGUUAUUAGGGAAGAACAAAUAUGUAAGUAACUAUGCACGUCUUGACGGUACCUAAUCAGAAAGCCACGGCUAACUACGUG